rnacentral:rRNA from 1 species
GACAGCAGCAGCCGCGGUAAUACGAAGGGUGCAAGCGUUAAUCGGAAUUACUGGGCGUAAAGCGUGCGUAGGCGGUUUGUUAAGUCUGUCGUGAAAUCCCCGGGCUCAACCUGGGAAUGGCAAUGGAUACUGGCAAGCUAGAGUGUGUCAGAGGAUGGUGGAAUUCCCGGUGUAGCGGUGAAAUGCGUAGAGAUCGGGAGGAACAUCAGUGGCGAAGGCGGCCAUCUGGGACAACACUGACGCUGAGGCACGAAAGCGUGGGGAGCAAACAGGAUUAGAUACCGCGUAGUCCCUGUCUCUUAUACA